rnacentral:ncRNA from 1 species
AAAAAUUAAUUUCUAUUAUUUCAAAAGAUCGUUUAGGUCCGUGUUGUCAUUUUAGCUUAAUUUUAAUUUUACAUGUAAACUAUAGUCUGUAUUAAUGAAAAAAAAUAUAAUUUUUUAUGGUAAACCUCAGUAAAAGAUGUUAGUUAUAAAUAAAAGUUUUAACUAGUUAAUAAAAAAGUGUUGGAAAAUAGCGUGCCAGCAGCCGCGGUUAUACGUGAAACACAAGUUAAAAUAUUUUUAUGGGAUUUUAUCUAGUUUUUGUGUGAUCUAGCUAAAAUUACUAAGUAGAAUUUUAAUUUUUGAAAGUAAACACUCUCUAAAAUAAAUUAAAGGCGUUUUGAACUAGGAUUAGAUACCCUACUACUCGCUUAUAAAAUUUCCCAGAACAUUAAUCUUUAUGAAAUUUAACGGAUUUGGCGGCGAGAUAGCCCAUUAGAGGAACCUGCCCUGUUAACGAUGGUCCGCGAUAAAACUUACUAUAUUUUGAAACCAGUUUGUAUACCGCUGUUGCCAGUUAGUUCUAGUAGGAAACUUUCGGGAGAUGGUGAGACCAUAAACUUCAAGUAAAGGUGCAGCUUAUAAUAUAGAAAGAGGUGGGUUACAUUUAUUGGAUUAAAAACGGAAAGUCUUCUGAAAAACGACUGGAAGGUGGAUUUAAUAGUAAAUUCUUGAGGAAUUGAUUAGAGCUCUAUCUUGUGUACACACCGCCCGUCGCUCUCAUUACUAUUUGAGAUAAGUCGUAACAAGGUAAGUGUAAUGGAAAUUGUACUUGA